rnacentral:rRNA from 1 species
UGGGGAAUUUUCCGCAAUGGGCGAAAGCCUGACGGAGCAAGACCGCGUGAGGGAGGAAGGCCUUUGGGUUGUAAACCUCUUUUCUCAGGGAAGAAGAAAGUGACGGUACCUGAGGAAUCAGCCUCGGCUAACUCCGUGCCAGCAGCCGCGGUAAUACGGAGGAGGCAAGCGUUAUCCGGAAUUAUUGGGCGUAAAGCGUCCGCAGGUGGUUUUUCAAGUCCGCUGUCAAAGACCGGAGCUUAACUCCGGAGAGGCAGUGGAAACUACAAAACUUGAGUGCGUUCGGGGCAGAGGGAAUUCCUAGUGUAGCGGUGAAAUGCGUAGAGAUUAGGAAGAACACCGGUGGCGAAAGCGCUCUGCUAGGCCGCAACUGACACUGAGGGACGAAAGCUAGGGGAGCGAGUGGGAUUAGAUACCCCUGUAGUCC